CCAUGUUGGUCAGGCUGGUCUCGAACUCCCAACUUCAGGUGAUCCACCUGCCUCGGCUUCCCAAAGUGCUGGGAUUACAGGCGUGAGCCACCAUGCCCGGCUGAGCUCUGCUCUUUCUUAGUGGUAGUGCAGGUGGAUAGUAAUGCUUAGGACAAGAACUUCAAAUGUGAAUCAACUGGCAUUCUCCAACACAAAAUAGAAUUAUAGGCGUAGGGACUUUUUUUUUUUUUAGGUUUGAGCUUAUUAUACUAUGUUCCAGGCACUUUCACAUCCAUCAUCUUCCUAAUAAGCCAUGUAUUAUUAUGCCAGUUUUACAGAUGAGGAAGCUGAGACUUAGGGUGGUUGGGUAAUUUCCCAAGAUCUAUAAAACUAGAAGCAUAAAGGCAAAAUUUAAACCCAGAUUAUCUAACUGUAAGCAUGGGGCUUUUCCCAAUACCCCUUAUUGCUUUCUUAUCAGCCAAUGUUUCUAUAGAACCCAUUCCAUGCUAAUCUUGAAUGACCUUCUUACUCGGAUUGUUUUUCCCAGGAGAAAGACUAAUCUUUGAUGGAGUGCAGUGGUGUGAUCUCAGCUCACUGCAACCUCCGCCCCUUGGGUUCAAGCAAUUCUCCUGCCUCAGCCUCCCUUGUAGCUGGGAUUACAGGCAUGUGCUACCAUGCCUGGCUAAUUUUUGUAUUUUUAGUAGAGAUGGGGUUUCAUCAUUUUGGCCAGGCUGGUCUCAAACUCCUGACCUCAAGUGAUUCGCCUGCCUCGGCCUCCCAAAGUGCUGGGAUUACAGGUGUGAGCCACUGCGCCCGGCCUGAUGAGAGAUUUGAGAGCAACCCCUCCCAUCAUCAUUUCCUCUUCCAUUUCCUAUGAUAAGCUCAUUCCCUCCUACUGUGUCCUGAUUUCUCCCUCUCCUCCAACUCCAAUGAAACUGCCAAGGAGUUAAGAAUCGCAACACAUGAAGAGGCUGCAGAGAGAGCUCUCUGCCUCCUCAGCCAGUAGCCUAUAAAUCCCGGGACAAAAUACACUGAGAGAAGGUAGAAAUUUGAAUAUAAUUCUGUCCAAGAAAGAGUCCACAUAGACCAAAAUCUGACUAUGCCUUAAUUUUGCGGAACUGUAAGGAAUCUUAAAAUAUAAUUGUCAGACUUGCUUAUUUUACAGAUACAGAAAACUGAGACCCAAGAAGGGGAAAGGACUUGCCUCAAGUCACACACUAGCGACAGGCAGAGUCUGGACUGGAACUCCAGUCUUCUGACUCCCAGGCGAAUGCUUUUUCACUAAAAUACGUUGCCUCUUUAGCUUUUCCCAUUAACAACUCAACUUACAUGAGAUCAUAGCCCUUUCAAGAAGAAAGCUCAGUGCUGGCAUCUCUGCAAAGCCCAGAAGUCAGUGCCCCACUCUGAUCAGCUGAUGUCCUCAUCUAAAGAACAGGAAGUGGUUUCACUUCUAGCUCUGAAAGCACAUUGUAGGGGUGAGAAAGGGGGAUUUGGGGAAGAGAGUUCCUGUACAUGAUAGUCAAAAGCAAUCAGCAGACACUUUGGUCUUGCUUGAAGAAGGGGAAGAUGUAAGGUCAGACAUGUAAGAGGAAGAUGAAGGUUGUCCUUGAUCAGCACAUGAUCUCAUCAAGAGCUUCCCCCAGCCCUAGGGUGGUGGAGAGUCGAAGUGGGGAGCAGGGAGGGUGGUGGUGGGGAUUCAGCUCUGCUCAUUCCCUUCUCUGCUCUGAGGGAGCUAGAUACCAGAGCGGGGGUUGAGAUAGGAGCACCAGGGUAGGAAAAUUUGCAGGAACUUGAUACAACCUUCAAUGCUUCCCCUACCCUCUGUUAGCACCCACAACUUCCCCUGCCAAGGGAGGAAGGAGGAACACAUUAUUCAGCUUUAUACACUGAAAAGUUUACUGUGUGAAAUAAAGGGGACUUAAGGGGUCAACAGAGGCCGGGCAUGGUUCUUCACACCUGUAAUCCCAGCACUUUGGGAGGCUGA
rnacentral:lncRNA from 1 species